GUAAUGAUGGCAGAGAGGUCACACCCGUUCCCAUACCGAACACGGAAGUUAAGCUCUCUAGCGCCGAUGGUAGUUGGGACCUUGUCCCUGUGAGAGUAGGACGUUGCCAGGCAAA
rnacentral:rRNA from 1 species